AGAGUUUGAUCCUGGCUCAGGACGAACGCUGGCGGCGUGCCUAACACAUGCAAGUCGAGCGGAGACAGUGAGUAGCUUGCUAUGAGCUGUUUUAGCGGCGGACGGGUGAGUAACGCGUGAGCAACCUUUCCCAGACAGGGGAAUAACACACCGAAAGGUGUACUAAUACCGCAUAAGACCACGGGAUCACAUGGUUCUGGGGUAAAAGAUUUAUCGGUUUGGGGUGGGCUCGCGUCCGAUUAGGUAGUUGGUGAGGUAACGGCCCACCAAGCCGACGAUCGGUAGCCGACCUGAGAGGGUGAUCGGCCACAUUGGGACUGAGACACGGCCCAAACUCCUACGGGAGGCAGCAGUGGGGAAUAUUGCACAAUGGGGGAAACCCUGAUGCAGCGACGCCGCGUGAGUGAAGAAGUAUUUCGGUAUGUAAAGCUCUAUCAGCAGGGAAGAAAAUGACGGUACCUGACUAAGAAGCCCCGGCUAACUACGUGCCAGCAGCCGCGGUAAUACGUAGGGGGCAAGCGUUGUCCGGAAUAAUUGGGCGUAAAGGGCGCGUAGGCGGCUCGGUAAGUCUGGAGUGAAAGUCCUGCUUUUAAGGUGGGAAUUGCUUUGGAUACUGUCGGGCUUGAGUGCAGGAGAGGUUAGUGGAAUUCCCAGUGUAGCGGUGAAAUGCGUAGAGAUUGGGAGGAACACCAGUGGCGAAGGCGACUAACUGGACUGUAACUGACGCUGAGGCGCGAAAGUGUGGGGAGCAAACAGGAUUAGAUACCCUGGUAGUCCACACUGUAAACGAUGAAUGCUAGGUGUAGGGGGUAUCGACCCCUUCUGUGCCGCAGUCAACACAAUAAGCAUUCCGCCUGGGGAGUACGGCCGCAAGGUUGAAACUCAAAGGAAUUGACGGGGGCCCGCACAAGCAGUGGAGUAU
rnacentral:rRNA from 1 species